GAGGGUAGAAACCAGGACGCCGCUGGACACACUAGUUACGGUUUGUUCAUUCUCAGGUACUGUGCCCCAGGACCUCAAAAGGAUGAACACAGUACAGUGAGGUCCUCCUGGAGGACAGACCACACACAUCCUUGCUGGGGAGGUGAGCAGUGCUCACAUGUGCCGUUGACAUCUUACAUGCCUUACCACAGGCUAGAAGCAGAGCCACUUCAGUCAUGUACUGGCCCUCUAAGAACAAGCUAAGAGAAAUCUCUAUGUUUAGAUUAAUUGCCUUCUGUAUUUUGUUACAGUAACGUGAAGCUAACAGCUUUAUUAAAGGUAUAUCGUGAUUUGAGGGGGGGAUUCACUUAA
rnacentral:lncRNA from 1 species